rnacentral:ncRNA from 1 species
CGGCGAUGGGGGUUAAGUCGUAACAAGGUAACCGUUCUGGAAGGAGCGGUUGGAUCACCUCCUUU